UACGUAGGGUGCAAGCGUUAAUCGGAAUUAUUGGGCGUAAAGAGCUCGUAGGCGGUUUAUCGCGUCGGCUGUGAAAACCUGAGGCUCAACCUCGGGCCUGCAGUCGAUACGGGCAAACUAGAGUUCGGUAGGGGAGACUGGAAUUCCUGGUGUAGCGGUGGAAUGCGCAGAUAUCAGGAGGAACACCGGUGGCGAAGGCGGGUCUCUGGGCCGAAACUGACGCUGAGGAGCGAAAGCGUGGGGAGCGAACAGG
rnacentral:rRNA from 1 species